rnacentral:rRNA from 1 species
GUCGAGCUUGCUCACAGGCACAUCAUAUCCAUAACACCUGUGCACUUGUCGGAUGGCUUAGUGAAGACCGCAAGGUUGGAUCUAUCCAUCUACUUUACAUAACAAUUCUGUAACAAAUGUAGUCUUAUUAUAACAUAAUAAAACUUUCAACAACGGAUCUCUUGGCUCUCGCAUCGAUGAAGAACGCAGCGAAAUGCGAUAAGUAAUGUGAAUUGCAGAAUUCAGUGAAUCAUCGAAUCUUUGAACGCACCUUGCGCUCCUUGGUAUUCCGAGGAGCAUGCCUGUUUGAGUGUCAUGAAAACCCUCAACCCUAGAUUGGUUAAAACCUUUCUUUGGUUUGGAUUUGGACGUUUGCCGAUGAUAAGUCGGCUCGUCUUAAAAGUAAUAGCUGGAUCUGUCUCGCGACAUGGUUUGACUUGGCGUAAUAAGUAUUUCGCUAAGGACAUCUUCGGAUGGCCGCGUUGCAGGACUAAAGACCGCUUUCUAAUCCAUUGAUCUUACGAUUAAUAUUCUUGACAUCUGGCCUCAAAUCAGGUAGGACUACCCGCUGAACUUAAG